rnacentral:sRNA from 1 species
AUUCUGCCCAUGCGGGGAAGGAUGAGAAGCUUCGACUAAGGUUCGGCUCGAGCGUCAGCGAGAGAGCGUUGCCGCAGGCAACGACCCGAAGGGCGAAGCGCGCAGCGCUGAGUAAUCCUUCCCCCA